GACGAACGCUGGCGGCGUGCUUAACACAUGCAAGUCGAACGGUGAAGCCCUUCGGGGUGGCUCAGUGGCGAACGGGUGAGUAACACGUGAGCAACCUGCCCCUGGCCCUGGGACAACCACUGGAAACGGUGGCUAAUACCGGAUACGACCCGCCUCGGCAUCGCGGGUGGGUGCAAAGUUUUUCGGCUGGGGAUGGGCUCGCGGCCUAUCAGCUUGUUGGUGAGGUGAAGGCUCACCAAGGCGACGACGGGUAGCCGGCCUGAGAGGGCGACCGGCCACACUGGGACUGCGACACGGCCCAGACUCCUACGGGAGGCAGCAGUGGAGAAUAUUGCACAAUGGGCGAAAGCCUGAUGCAGCGACGCCGCGUGAGGGAUGACGGCCUUCGGGUUGUAAACCUCUUUCAGCUCCGAAGAAGCGAAAGUGACGGUAGGAGCAGAAGAAGCACCGGCUAACUACGUG
rnacentral:rRNA from 1 species